AACGAACGCUGGUGGCAUGCCUAAUACAUGCAAGUCGAACGAGAAAGCUCUUCGGAGUGAGUAGAGUGGCGCACGGGUGAGUAACACGUAGGUAACCUACCUUCUUGUGGGGGAUAACAUCGGGAAACCGGUGCUAAUACCGCAUAUGAAAGCUUGCUUUCAAAGGUGGCUUCGGCUAUCGCAAGAAGAAGGGCCUGCGGGACAUUAGCUUGUUGGUGGGGUAAUGGCCUACCAAGGCUACGAUGUCUAGCUGGUCUGAGAGGAUGAUCAGUCACACUGGAACUGAGACACGGUCCAG
rnacentral:rRNA from 1 species